UGAAUUGUUGUUGAAUCUGAUGUGGAUCAAUAAGCUUCAUCUGGUUUUCUGUAAGGAUACAACUCACCUUAUUUCUUGCUUGUCUGGAUUUCAUGUAGGCAUGGAAGUAUUUUGUAUUGUUAUCUCUCAGUUGGAUCCAACUGGCUCUUGAUUUCUGCCUCAGUAUUUGUUCUUGAAUUGCUUCCAAUUUUUCAAUGUUCUGUAAGAA
rnacentral:lncRNA from 1 species